GUGAACGCUGGCGGUAGGCCUAACCCAUGCAAGUCGAACGGCAGCACAGUAAGAGCUUGCUCUUACGGGUGGCGAGUGGCGGACGGGUGAGGAAUACAUCGGAAUCUACUUUUUCGUGGGGGAUAACGUAGGGAAACUUACGCUAAUACCGCAUACGACCUACGGGUGAAAGCAGGGGAUCUUCGGACCUUGCGCGAUUGAAUGAGCCGAUGUCGGAUUAGCUAGUUGGCGGGGUAAAGGCCCACCAAGGCGACGAUCCGUAGCUGGUCUGAGAGGAUGAUCAGCCACACUGGAACUGAGACACGGUCCAGACUCCUACGGGAGGCAGCAGUGGGGAAUAUUGGACAAUGGGCGCAAGCCUGAUCCAGCCAUACCGCGUGGGUGAAGAAGGCCUUCGGGUUGUAAAGCCCUUUUGUUGGGAAAGAAAAGCAGCAGGUUAAUACCCCGCUAUUCCGACGGUACCCAAAGAAUAAGCACCAGCUAACUUCGUG
rnacentral:rRNA from 1 species